UUAAACUUGCCAUUCAACUUUGUAUAUUUACAUAUUCCUUUCUUUUGUUUGUUUCAGUCAUUUGACUGCAGCCAUGCUAGAACACUGCCUUUAGUUGAACACCUCGACCCAGGACUUAUUCUUUGCUUGCAUGGGUAAUACAUAAUCUUGUUGAGUCAGAUUUUCGAUGACUGGAACCCUUUCCUGUCACCAAGCCGAGCUGAUUUCGAAUUAAGACACAUAAAACUUGACAUUGUUACUAUUUACUCAGAAGAAAGAUAAGUGGAUUGGCUGAAUUGGUAAAGUAUUGGACAAAAUGUCUUGUGGUGUUUAUUCUGCUUUCAAAUCUUGCAGAGGUCAAAUUUUCU